AGAGUUUGAUCCUGGCUCAGGAUGAACGCUGGCGGCGUGCUUAACACAUGCAAGUCGAACGAGCGGUCCUCUUCGGAGGGCAGCGAGUGGCGGACGGGUGAGUAACGCGUGGGUGACCUGCCCCAUACAGGGGGAUAACAGCUGGAAACGGCUGAUAAUACCGCAUAAGCGCACAGUAUCGCAUGGUACGGUGUGAAAAGCUGAGGCGGUAUGGGAUGGGCCCGCGUCUGAUUAGCCAGUUGGCGGGGUAACGGCCCACCAAAGCGACGAUCAGUAGCCGACUUGAGAGAGUGACCGGCCACAUUGGGACUGAGACACGGCCCAAACUCCUACGGGAGGCAGCAGUGGGGAAUAUUGCACAAUGGGCGAAAGCCUGAUGCAGCGACGCCGCGUGAGUGAGGAAGUAUUUCGGUAUGUAAAGCUCUAUCAGCAGGGAAGAAAAUGACGGUACCUGACUAAGAAGCCCCGGCUAAAUACGUGCCAGCAGCCGCGGUAAUACGUAUGGGGCAAGCGUUAUCCGGAUUUACUGGGUGUAAAGGGAGCGCAGGCGGCGAGGCAAGUCAGAAGUGAAAACCCGGGGCUCAACCCCGCGGAUUGCUUUUGAAACUGCCCGGCUGGAGUGCAGGAGGGGCAAGCGGAACUCCUAGUGUAGCGGUGAAAUGCGUAGAUAUUAGGAAGAACACCGGUGGCGAAGGCGGCUUGCUGGACUGUAACUGACGCUGAGGCUCGAAGGCGUGGGGAGCAAACAGGAUUAGAUACCCUGGUAGUCCACGCAGUAAACGAUGAAUACUAGGUGUCGG
rnacentral:rRNA from 1 species